CACUCGGGGGUAGACUUUGUUUGUUUUUGUAACUUUAAUGUUGACGUGGUUGUUUAGAAACUUUGAUGUUUGUUUUUAAUUUUGAUGUAACUUUGAUUAUGACAAUCGGAUGUAGUACACUACGUAUUUUAGUAUCGUUUAAUUCGUAAUUUGUUACCGGUUGUUACGUUUUUAUUAAUCGCUAAAAUAUUUUUAGAUUGGNN
rnacentral:lncRNA from 1 species